rnacentral:tmRNA from 1 species
GGGGGCGAUUGGUUUCGACUGGAUCGCUGUUGGUUUGGAUGGCGUGUCGUGGUUGAUCAGUUGGCCACGUAAAAAGCUGAUCAAACAAUAACUGCCAAUAACAAUCGGCAAUUCGCUCUGGCUGCCUAAUUACAGGUAGUCCCGACUGCGGAAUCCCCGUCUGAGGAGUCCAAAAGUCGGUUAAAAUUCAGACUGGUUCCGGGUCAAUGUCCGCUACGCCCGGUUCGAGACUUUGUGGUGGACUGGCGUCAGGGAAUUCUGGUCGUGGAAGUCUCUGACGCGAGAUCAAUUUGCGACCUACACACGUAGAGGUUCAUCCCAAGGCCUCACAGGACGCGGGUUCAAUCCCCGCCGCCUCCACU